GACGGACGCUGGCGGCGUGCCUAAUACAUGCAAGUAGAACGCUGUAGAGAGGAGCUUGCUCUUCUUGGAUGAGUUGCGAACGGGUGAGUAACGCGUAGGUAACCUGCCUUGUAGCGGGGGAUAACUAUUGGAAACGAUAGCUAAUACCGCAUAACAAUGGAUGACACAUGUCAUUUAUUUGAAAGGGGCAAUUGCUCCACUACAAGAUGGACCUGCGUUGUAUUAGCUAGUAGGUGAGGUAAUGGCUCACCUAGGCGACGAUACAUAGCCGACCUGAGAGGGUGAUCGGCCACACUGGGACUGAGACACGGCCCAGACUCCUACGGGAGGCAGCAGUAGGGAAUCUUCGGCAAUGGGGGCAACCCUGACCGAGCAACGCCGCGUGAGUGAAGAAGGUUUUCGGAUCGUAAAGCUCUGUUGUAAGUCAAGAACGGGUGUGAGAGUGGAAAGUUCACACUGUGACGGUAGCUUACCAGAAAGGGACGGCUAACUACGUG
rnacentral:rRNA from 1 species